rnacentral:lncRNA from 1 species
UUUUUAUUUAUUUUUUUUUUGCAAAUUAAUAUAUUAAAAUUAAAAUUUACUAAAAAACACAAACGUAUAUAAUAAAAUUUCUUUUUUAUAUUCUAGACAAGACUUCUGUAUUCAGCAAUGUGUAUUCAAAGUUUAUUCUAAUAUGAUGUGUUGUUGCCUUGGGCCUCUUCUUUAGACUCAUGGAAGCGUUCCAAACACACUAGUAGCAAGUUGUGAUGUAGUGAAGCCAAAAGUUGUUGCAGCUGAACACAUAUCUCAGAUCAACGAGGAAGCACACUCUUCGUUUGUAAAGAAGUAGAAAACUAUAAUGUGAUGGCAGUUGUAACAUCAAAUAUUUGAGGUCCGUAUUAUUUUUGGUUAAUUCGUAUUAAGAUCAGAUCUUUAAUUGCGUGGCAGUUGUAACAUCAAAUAUUUGAGGUGCUUAUAGGACAUGCUGACAAUGCAGAAUUCGCUCUUAUAAUCUGCCCAACUGAACCUUAUGUACUCUUUGGAGGGAGCUGAAUUUGAAGCCAAAUUCGGGAAGCUUGUUGAACUCAGGUUCAGCAGAGAUGCAGUUAUACAAGCUCUGAAGCUUUUUGAUGGUUGAUCCAAAAUUUGAUUUGGAUAUUAAUUAAGAUGAUGCGGAAGACGAGUGUUCCAACUAUAGAUGGGUCAAGCAUAUAUAUGUUGACAAGUAUGUGUUCAAGCCCUUUAUCUCAGUCUAAUAGGAUGAACAUCUGUUAGAUGUGCAAAUUACCAUAACAUGGGAUCUACAAGUAGCAUGAAUAAAACACUUGGGAAGAUUAUACAACAUCAGAACUGGUCACCAGUUACAAGUUUACUCCCCACCAGAAGAGCGGUAAUGUGGCUACGAACCCAUGGAUGCAAAUUUGCAGCACUUUUAGGUCUAAAAUAGUGAGUAUAUGGACUUGAAGAAA